GACGGAGGAUGCAAGUGUUAUCCGGAAUCACUGGGCGUAAAGCGUCUGUAGGUGGUUCGAAAAGUCCACUGUUAAAAAUUGAGGCUUAACUUCAAAGAUGCCGUGGAAACUUUCAAACUAGAGUAUUGGUAGGGGUAGAGGGAAUUUCCAGUGGAGCGGUGAAAUGCGUAGAUAUUGGAAAGACCACCGAUGGCGAAGGCACUCUACUGGGCCACUACUGACACUGAGAGACGAAAGCUAGGGGAGCAAAUGGG
rnacentral:rRNA from 1 species